GAGUUUGAUCAUGGCUCAGAUUGAACGCUGGCGGCAUGCCUUACACAUGCAAGUCGAACGGCAGCAUGAUCUAGCUUGCUAGAUUGAUGGCGAGUGGCGAACGGGUGAGUAAUACAUCGGAACGUGCCCUGUAGUGGGGGAUAACUAGUCGAAAGAUUAGCUAAUACCGCAUACGACCUGAGGGUGAAAGUGGGGGACCGCAAGGCCUCAUGCUAUAGGAGCGGCCGAUGUCUGAUUAGCUAGUUGGUGGGGUAAAGGCCCACCAAGGCGACGAUCAGUAGCUGGUCUGAGAGGACGAUCAGCCACACUGGGACUGAGACACGGGCCCAGACUCCUACGGGAGGCAGCAGUGGGGAAUUUUGGACAAUGGGGCAACCCUGAUCCAGCAAUG
rnacentral:rRNA from 1 species